AUUGAACGCUGGCGCCAUGCUUUACACAUGCAAGUCGAACGGCAGCGCGGGCUUCGGCCUGGCGGCGAGUGGCGAACGGGUGAGUAAUGCAUCGGAACGUGCCCAGUAGUGGGGGAUAGCCCGGCGAAAGCCGGAUUAAUACCGCAUACGACCUGAGGGUGAAAGCGGGGGACCGAAAGGUCUCGCGCUAUUGGAGCGGCCGAUGUCGGAUUAGCUAGUUGGUGGGGUAAAGGCUUACCAAGGCGACGAUCCGUAGCUGGUCUGAGAGGACGACCAGCCACACUGGGACUGAGACACGGCCCAGACUCCUACGGGAGGCAGCAGUGGGGAAUUUUGGACAAAGGGGGCAACCCUGAUCCAGCCAUGCCGCGUGCGGGAAGAAGGCCUUCGGGUUGUAAACCGCUUUUGUUCGGGAAGAAAUCCUCUGGGCUAAUACCCCGGGGGGAUGACGGUACCGGAAGAAUAAGCACCGGCUAACUACGUG
rnacentral:rRNA from 1 species